rnacentral:rRNA from 1 species
GACGAACGCUGGCGGCGUGCUUAACACAUGCAAGUCGAACGGAAAGGCCCUGCUUUUGUGGGGUGCUCGAGUGGCGAACGGGUGAGUAACACGUGAGUAACCUGUCCUUGACUUUGGGAUAACUUCAGGAAACUGGGGCUAAUACCGGAUAGGAGCUCCUGCUGCAUGGUGGGGGUUGGAAAGUUUCGGCGGUUGGGGAUGGACUCGCGGCUUAUCAGCUUGUUGGUGGGGUAGUGGCUUACCAAGGCUUUGACGGGUAGCCGGCCUGAGAGGGUGACCGGCCACAUUGGGACUGAGAUACAGCCCAGACUCCUACGGGAGGCAGCAGUGGGGAAUAUUGCACAAUGGGCGGAAGCCUGAUGCAGCAACGCCGCGUGCGGGAUGACGGCCUUCGGGUUGUAAACCGCUUUCGCCUGUGACGAAGCGUGAGUGACGGUAAUGGGUAAAGAAGCACCGGCUAACUACGUG